GUGUCAGCCGCCGCGGUAAUACGUAGGAUCCGAGCGUUAUCCGAAUUUACUGGGCGUAAAGCGCGUGCAGGUGGUUUGGUAAGUUGGAUGUGAAAGCUCCUGGCUCAACUGGGAGAGGCCGUUCAAAACUACCAGACUAGAGGACAGUAGAGGGAGGUGGAAUUCCCGGUGUAGUAGUGAAAUGCGUAGAUAUCGGGAGGAACACCAGUGGCGAAAGCGGCCUCCUGGACUGUUCCUGACACUCAGAUGCGAAAGCUAGGGGAGCAAACGGGAUUAGAUACCCGCGUAGUCC
rnacentral:rRNA from 1 species